UGCUUCCUUGUGUGUGGUGCCGGACAGCAGCGUCGCCUCCGUGAAGUCGUACAGGCAAGAUGAUGACACUGGCGUGGUUUAUGGUUAUGUCGUCCAUGAUGAGACGCCGCAGACGACGGCGCAUCUUCUGGGUGAGGAGGAGACGGAUGAUGUGGGUGUGGUGACACGGGGACCUGUAGCAAGGGGAGGCGGCCAUGGAUGAAACAUAACGGAAGCAUAAAUGCCAACAAAUACACAAAAAAUAGCCACGGCUACAGUCUGUAAACACAAUUAACAUAAUUGUUUACACACAGGCAGAAGCCUCUUUCAAAUGUGUCAAAAGCAGACCUCUAGAUACCAAUAAUAAAGACAACACGUCAAACCA